GAGCGGCGAACGGGUGAGUAACACGUGAGCAACCUACCCUUCACUUCGGGAUAAGCCUCGGAAACGGGGUCUAAUACCGGAUAUCACUCCUUNCUUCAUGGUUUGGGGUUGAAAGUUCUGGCGGUGGGGGAUGGGCUCGCGGCCUAUCAGCUUGUUGGUGGGGUAAUGGCCUACCAAGGCGUCGACGGGUAGCCGGCCUGAGAGGGCGACCGGCCACACUGGGACUGAGACACGGCCCAGACUCCUACGGGAGGCAGCAGUGGGGAAUAUUGCGCAAUGGACGGAAGUCUGACGCAGCAACGCCGCGUGAGGGAUGACGGCCUUCGGGUUGUAAACCUCUUUCAGCAGGGACGAAGCGAGAGUGACGGUACCUGCAGAAGAAGGACCGGCCAACUACGUGCCAGCAGCCGCGGUAAUACGUAGGGUCCGAGCGUUGUCCGGAAUUAUUGGGCGUAAAGGGCUCGUAGGCGGUUCGUCGCGUCGGGAGUGAAAACUCGGAGCUCAACUCCGAGCCUGCUUCCGAUACGGGCAGACUAGAGGUAGGCAGGGGAGAGCGGAACUCCU
rnacentral:rRNA from 1 species